GAUGAACGCUGGCGGCGUGCCUAAUACAUGCAAGUCGAACGAACGGAUGAGAAGCUUGCUUCUCUGAUGUUAGAGGCGGACGGGUGAGUACCACGUGGUUAACCUAACUAUAAGACUGAGAUAACUUUGGGGAACCGGGGCUAAUACCGGAUGAUUUUUUGAACUGCAUUGUUCAAAAGUGAAAGACGGUCUUGCUGUCACUUAUAGAUGGAUCAGCGCUGCAUUAGCUAGUUGGUAAGGUAACGGCUUACCAAGGCAACGAUGCAUAGCCGACCUGAGAGGGUGAUCGGCCACACGGGAACUGAGACACGGUCCAGACUCCUACGGGAGGCAGCAGUAGGGAAUCUUCCGCAAUGGACGAAAGCCUGACGGAGCAACGCCGAGUGAGUGAUGAAGGUCUUCGGAUCGUAAAACUCUGUUAUUAGGGAAGAACAUAUGUGUAAGUAACUGUGCACAUCUUGACGGUACCUAAUCAGAAAGCCACGGCUAACUACGUG
rnacentral:rRNA from 1 species